rnacentral:lncRNA from 10 species
GUUCAUUCAGCAGCUCCUAGAGCAGUGCAAGGCACCAAUGGGCAUUUAGCAAGCAUUUGUUCAUUGAAUUAAUUUAAAGGAUCAGUUCAGACUUACCUCUAUCCCAAGAAAGAACACAUUGUGCUAUAGUCAUCUGUGUCUUCUACAUCAGAGAAUAUGAGUUCUUUCAUUAUAUGCUUUAUGUCUGCAUUCCUGGCAUCUAAUACUCUAAUAAUAAGAGAUUUUAUCUCUAUAUCUCUAGCAUCUAGUUGUGGCACAGGUUACAUGGUGAAAAAGUAUUGAAAACAACUAGUUGCAUAUCCUUAAUAAAAAUAUAAUUACUGCUUGGUAAAUCCCAUAUGUUGUGGAAGCCCAAAGUGUGAAAUGGACUUACAGUAAUUGUGCUUAUUGAAGUGAAUUAGAAUUUGCAUGUCUUCCAGGAGAGGUAGCAGCACCUUAGCCACUCUUUCUGCAAUUCCAGAGUCCACCAGCAGGUGCAGUGGAAACUUUUCAGGUCAUCUGUAGCUGAGUCACUUUAGAGAGUUGAGUGAAAUACAAGGGCAGAGAAGGCAGCGGGAAAGGCCCUGGGAGCCUGCUGGGUCCCCAGGCAAGCCAUUCCUGCCUGGCCUCACAGGGAUCCUUCAGGAGGGCAGCCAGCAGUGGGGAGAAAACACCACAGAGAGAAGGAAGUCUCCAGCUGAACUUUGUAACAGUUUGAACCCAUGGAGGAGCCUCCUGGCCAGAACCUGGUGGGGAGGGUGUGAAUCCUGCCUGCAGAC